UAGGGAAUCUUCGGCAAUGGACGAAAGUCUGACCGAGCAACGCCGCGUGAGUGAUGAAGGGUUUCGGCUCGUAAAACACUGUUGUAAGAGAAGAAUGACAUUGAGAGUAACUGUUCAAUGUGUGACGGUAUCUUGCCAGAAAGGAACGGCUAAAUACGUGCCAG
rnacentral:rRNA from 1 species